rnacentral:rRNA from 1 species
UUAUACCGUGAAACUGCGAAUGGCUCAUUAAAUCAGUUAUCGUUUAUUCUGAUAGUACCUUACUACUUGGAUAACCGUGGUAAUUCUAGAGCUAAUACAUGCUGAAAACCCCAACUUCGGGAGGGGUGUAUUUAUUAGAUAAAAAACCAACGCCCUUCGGGGCUUCUUGGUGAUUCAUGAUAACUUUACGGAUCGCAUGGCCUUGCGCCGGCGACGGUUCAUUCAAAUUUCUGCCCUAUCAACUUUCGAUGGUAAGGUAUUGGCUUACCAUGGUUUCAACGGGUAACGGGGAAUUAGGGUUCGAUUCCGGAGAGGGAGCCUGAGAAACGGCUACCACAUCCAAGGAAGGCAGCAGGCGCGCAAAUUACCCAAUCCCGACACGGGGAGGUAGUGACAAUAAAUACUGAUACAGGGCUCUUUUGGGUCUUGUAAUUGGAAUGAGUACAAUUUAAACCUCUUAACGAGGAACAAUUGGAGGGCAAGUCUGGUGCCAGCAGCCGCGGUAAUUCCAGCUCCAAUAGCGUAUAUUAAAGUUGUUGCAGUUAAAAAGCUCGUAGUUGAACCUUGGGUCUGGCUGGCAGGUCCGCCUCACCGCGUGUACUUGUCCGGCCGGGCCUUCCUUCUGGAGAACCUCAUGCCCUUCACUGGGCGUGUUGGGGACCAGGACUUUUACUUUGAAAAAAUUAGAGUGUUCAAAGCAGGCCUUUGCUCGAAUACGUUAGCAUGGAAUAAUAGAAUAGGACGUGCGGUCCUAUUUUGUUGGUUUCUAGGACCGCCGUAAUGAUUAAUAGGGACAGUCGGGGGCAUCAGUAUUCAAUUGUCAGAGGUGAAAUUCUUGGAUUUAUUGAAGACUAACUACUGCGAAAGCAUUUGCCAAGGAUGUUUUCAUUAAUCAGUGAACGAAAGUUAGGGGAUCGAAGACGAUCAGAUACCGUCGUAGUCUUAACCGUAAACUAUGCCGACUAGGGAUCGGGCGAUGUUCUUUUUCUGACUCGCUCGGCACCUUACGAGAAAUC